UGGAACCACCCGAUCCCAUCCCGAACUCGGAAGUGAAACG
rnacentral:rRNA from 1 species